UUAUUAUUUUCGAAAUUAUAUAUAAUGUUUUUUGUUUUUUUAUAAAAUGGUAGUGUUACAUUAUGGAGAUAAACCGUCUUUUUUUAAGUGAAAAAUAGUAAUCUUACAUAUGUUUAAUGUAGUUUUUCCAUUUUUAUGCUGUAUGUUUACAUAUUAUUCACAAUUUUCGAAAAUUAGUAAUAUUAAAAUGUAAAACUAUAUUUUAUGCCACGUGUCAUCUUUCGGGAGAAGUUUUUUUUGCUGAUGUGGACACUCUAUGGAGUCUCAAAAAGUUCCUUUAUUAAUAUAGAUGUCGUUUUAUAUACUAAUACAUAUCAAAUAAAAUAGUUUCUGAUUAAAAUGAAAAUGAAAAGAAUGCGAAAACUGUUAACGUUCUUGUCAAAUUACUUCAAAGAGUCAACAAACUAAGAGGAUACUUUUUUAACGAGACAAAAGAAACGUAAAGAGUUUAAAGACUAUAGAGAUCCAACAGUUUCAAAGACACCAACAGAGGCUAAAUGCGUAAGGGAUCGCUGUAGAUCCUAAAAUCUACACUAAGAAUUUGAUAGUGAUUGAGAGUUUAAUCAGGAGAAGAUAAAUGAUGUAGGCAACAAUAUCUUUAGAACACAACGAUGUAAUCAAUUUCCGGUAGGCAAAAAUGGAUUCUUAUUGAUGAAUGAAAUUGAAUACAAUGAGUAAAACGAGAUAGAACGUUACAAUUAGAUCGUUAAGAGAAAUGAUAUAAAGAUCGAUGAAAACAAGGUCGAAAUGUGGAUGUAGCGCUCUCUAGGGUUUUCAACGUGAGUCUCUCCAUGUGUGUUCUCCUCUCUUUAUAGUAGGUCGACUUCGUGAUCUCCAUAACCGUUCUGCGAUCUCGGGAACCGUUUAUAUAUAUAUAUAUAGUUUGUGGUCAAG
rnacentral:lncRNA from 1 species